rnacentral:rRNA from 1 species
CGUAGAGAGUUUGAGUCCUGGCUCGAGGAGUGAACGCGUGGCGGCGUGCUUAACACAUGCAACGUCGAACGGAGUAUUAACUUUGAAUUCUAACGGAUGAAGAGUUGAUACUUAGUGGCGGACGGGUGAGUAACGCGUGGAUAACCUGCCCCAUACCGGGGGAUAACAGCCGGAAACGGCUGCUAAUACCGCAUAAGCGCACGGAAUGCAUGUUCUGUGUGAAAAACUCCGGUGGUAUGGGAUGGAUCCGCGUCUGAUUAGCUGGUUGGCGGGGUAGAGGCCCACCAAGGCGACGAUCAGUAGCCGACCUGAGAGGGUGGCCGGCCACAUUGGGACUGAGACACGGCCCAGACUCCUACGGGAGGCAGCAGUGGGGAAUAUUGCACAAUGGGGGAAACCCUGAUGCAGCGACGCCGCGUGAGUGAAGAAGUAUUUCAGUAUGUAAAGCUCUAUCAGCAGGGAAGAGAAUGACGGUACCUGAGUAAGAAGCCCCGGCUAACUACGUG